rnacentral:rRNA from 1 species
CCAGACUCCUACGGGAGGCAGCAGUGGGGAAUAUUGCACAAUGGGGGGAACCCUGAUGCAGCGACGCCGCGUGGGUGAAGGAGCACCUCGGUGCGUAAAGCCCUAUCGGCAGGGAAGAAACAGACGGUACCUGACUAAGAAGCCCCGGCUGACUCCGUGCCAGCAGCCGCGGUAAUACGGAGGAUGCGAGCGUUAUCCGGAUUUAUUGGGUUUAAAGGGUGCGCAGGCGGAGGUGCAAGUCAGUGGUCAAAUUGCGGGGCUCAACCCCGUACUGCCGUUGAAACUGCACCCCUUGAGUGCGCGAGAAGUAUGCGGAAUGCGUGGUGUAGCGGUGAAAUGCAUAGAUAUCACGCAGAACUCCGAUUGCGAAGGCAGCAUACCGGCGCGCAACUGACGCUCAUGCACGAAAGCGUGGGUAUCGAACAGGAUUAGAUACCCUGGUAAC